rnacentral:misc_RNA from 1 species
AACUAUACGUUGAAAAUGUUUCCGUAAACGACUGUGAUGAAGUCUAGCCACGAAAUGUCGAGAAUUUGUCGCCACGAUUUCGUUAUUAUUAAUGGUGUAUAUUUUUGCCAGGUGUCUUCUUUUCAGGUCCAUCGAAUUUCCAUGUGAAUAGAGCGGAGAUAUUUUCGUAUGAAUCCACCGAAAGAUCUCUCCUUGGGAGCGGCGGAAGAGGAAAGAACCAGUCAAGUCACCCAAAGAAGCCCCGCUACCAGUCCAGAUGAUAUGAAGCGUGCAGCGGUACAGAAGCGCAUUGAGCAGUAUUUCUACCAGCUUGUAGAUGGCUGUGGCAACGAGCAAUGCUCCAAUGAGCACUGUGCCUCUAACAAAAGCUCGAGGCCGCUCAGCCACAAUGAGGCAGCGGCUAAGGCUGUGGCUCUGUGCAAGUCUAAAGCCCAACUCUGCUACCAAGCUGAUGAGAAGAAUGCAAAACAAGCCAAGACCACUCAUCAAGGCAAAAAAGAUGUCAGUGGUGAAGCACCAACGAAUAGUCAGGGGGUGGUUAAUAGACUAACUGACACUGGUGCAUCUACAAGCAACCAAACACCAAAAGCUGACAAGGGUACUAGACUUGUGUCGGCCAGCAAUGAGGCCUCAACUAGCUCCCAGACUACACGGAUGGGUAUGGAUGCCACGUUGAUGGCAACUCCAAUGAAUGACAAAGCAUCAACGAGUAAUGAGACACCCAAGAUUGGCACAGCUCCAGAGUUGAUUGGUGCACCUGUGAAGAAAGGCAAAUCAGAUCAAGCACCCAAACAACCUGACCACUUGUCAGAAAAGAAAAUGCUUACCCUUAUCGACUCAUGCAAGAAGGAAAAUAACUUCUCUCCGUUAGUGCGAUUGAUUGGUGAGGUGUUCUCCAGUUGGAAAGCUCUCAACAAGAGUUUCUUGAAGGCUCCCUUCAAGGUCAAGACCCCUGACCAGGAAGUGAUGGAUCUUGGUAGACAAUUGUCAGAGAAGGAACAAGAGAGGAUGAUAGAUGAUAAAGAGAAGGAUGAAGAUGAAUCAGUAGCUUCUGGAAGCCUACCAACCAGGACUGGAGACCUCAUGGUAGACAUGGAAGCAGUCCAACGUGUCUAUGCAGCUCUUGAAAGUCUGGAUGAAGAGAGAGUGACAAAUGCUAUGCUGAAUGCCAUCAUUUCCUUAUCACAAACCAUCGAAUUGGAUGUUCGUUGGGUGCCGCAGUUUGAAAACAAUCCAAGAUUUCUCAACGUCUUUGUUAUCAUUAUGGAGAAUCCAUCGCUUCAGAGUCCUGAAUACCUAGAAGUCGCUUAUCCAAGUUUCUGCAAAGCCGUCGGCCGUCUUCCCCUGACUGCCCAAGCCACGCUUGCCAGGAUCUGGUCCAGAUUCCCUGCCAACAACCUCAGAAAAAAACUGGAAAGUCUGCAACAGCUCAUCACGUGCAAAGUACUGACUGACCAUUUUGGGCCACAUCAGAGAAACAUACAUGAUGACGAGAACAUCACAGCAGCAACAAAGUGCAUGAAAGUGAUCUUCUAUGCCAGCAUCUUAGGAGGAACUGUACACAAGGCAAGGUCCACCAACACCCAGGAGGAAGAGGAGAUGGAUUUGAGAGAACUCCUUGGAGCUGUAGGGAAUGACAACAAAGAUAAGAAGCUUCCCAAGGAGGACCCUCUUACCAAGGAGCUCUCCACAUCAGUCCUAGACUCUACAGAGCCUCUCAUACCAUUUGAGGAAUUCUACAAUGAGCCUCUUAGUGAUCAGAUCGAAAUCAGCGAUGACUUUGCAAGAUACAAAAAAGAUGGAUUUUCACAGAGUGGACAGUUCUCCUUUCUGAAUUAUCCCUUCAUCCUAACACCUGCAGCCAAGAACAUGGGUCUCUACUAUGAUAACAGAGUGCGCAUGUACAACGAAAGAAGACUGACUGUCUUAAAUAGCCUCGUCCAAGGAGAGCAGUUUAAUCCUUACUUGAAACUGAAGGUCAAACGGAGCACUGUGAUUGACGAUGCGCUCGUUAAUCUUGAAAUCAUUGCCAUGGAGAAUCCUUCAGAUCUUAAGAAGCAGCUGUACGUUGAGUUUGAAGGAGAGCAAGGCGUAGAUGAAGGAGGUGUGUCCAAGGAAUUCUUCCAACUUGUAGUUGAGGACAUCUUCAACCCGGAUAUUGGCAUGUUCACCUACAACGAAGGCACCAAGUUCUACUGGUUCAAUCCGACCUCAUUUGAGAAUGAUCGCCAGUUCACACUGAUCGGUAUUGUACUGGGUCUGGCUAUCUAUAACAACAUCAUCCUGGAUAUACAGUUUCCUAUGGUGGUCUACCGGAAACUCAUGGGAAGGAAGGCAACGUUUGAAGACUUGGAACCAAUCCAACCAGUGUUAUACAACAGCUUCAAGUGCUUGCUAGAGUGUGAAGGCAACGUGGAGGAGAUAUACAUGAUGAACUUUGUCAUCAGUUACAAGGAUGUGUUUGGUAACACCAUCACACAGAACCUGAAAGAAGAUGGGGAGAAUACACCUGUCACCAAGGAAAACAGACAGGAGUUUGUUGAUAGCACUUUGACUUUGAUGCACUGGAAGAGGCAACAGAAUAUGAUGGUGGCUACACGAAAGACUCCACCAUCAUCAAGGACUUCUGGGAGAUUGUGCACCGAAUGUUGGCAGACCAGAAGAAGAAACUGUUGAUGUUUACCACUGGAAGUGACCGGGUACCAGUUGGAGGUCUGGCCAAGCUCCGACUCAUCAUUGCUAAGAAUGGACCCGACUCGGACAGGCUGCCCACAUCUCACACAUGCUUCAACGUCCUACUGCUGCCAGAAUACAGCAGCAAGGAAAAGCUGGAGGAGAGACUACUGAAAGCCAUCACUCAUGCCAAGGGCUUUGGUAUGCUGUAAGGUAGCACAGUGC